GCGGCAGGAGGAAACGACAACACCAAGGUCAUCUACUUCCCCAUUUGUAUGGAGGCAGCGCCACUUACAUGGCUCGAAUCACUAGACAAGAACUCCAUCAACACGUGGAAGGAUCUCAAGGUGGCAUUCACCAACAACUUCACAGGGGUAAUGCAGCGUUCUGGCAACAGGAUCGACUUGUCUCAAGUCAAACAACAACAAGGCGAGACCCUGCGUAGUUAUCG
rnacentral:lncRNA from 1 species